rnacentral:tRNA from 1 species
GGAUUGUAGCUCAGUGGUAGAACACAUGCCUAGCAUGUGUGAGGCAUGAUGUUCAAUUCUCAGCACCA